CCUCCCUGGGCCGCAGCGCUGCCACCAUCCAUGUCCCAGGUAGGAGCCGGGACCGCAGGAGUCUGCCCCCCCGACUGGGGGACAGGGGCUGCAGAGGCACAGGCGUUGUUCCGCGGAGCCCGUCCCCUAUCCUGAGCCAUAGCAGAGGGACGGGCCGCAUGUGAAACAGGCUCCUCACGUCGCCCGGACCCAGAGGCUGCAGCACCCCGAGCCCGGGAAGCUACCACCACUGCCCCACCACCGGAAGCCCCCCGAGCCGCCGGAGCGACUAACAGGGGAGGCUUGGGGCUGCACAGACGGACUAACCCGGCGGCGCUGGCGACGAGGCGAAUCCGGGGAGAGACGGGCCAGCGGACGUGAGCGCUGGCCACUGGAGCGAGUCCCCGACCCCGGCUCCGGGCCGCACCGCAGCCAAAACCAGAGAAGGGAAGCGUCCCACCAGCCAGCCAGGCCCCUGCCCGAGGGCCUCAUCCCUCACCAUGGCAAGAAGAUCAUCCAGGGCGUCCAUCUCAGUUUUGACCUCUGCGCAAUGACGUGAAUGAGGCCAGAAGAAGGGCAUUACCAGCAGUCGUCUCUGAACACCCCACGCCGUAGCUGUCUUCCCAUCCACCGGGAGAUCCGAAGAGGAGUACAGAGACAUUUAUAAUGCGGGUUCCCUGCUUUGAAAUGUAUAAGUAAACUAUAACUUGGAGCCAAUUAUAUAACUGGACUAAGGACAAGAGCAGGUAAUGGUUUGAAGAACAAAACUGUAAAGUAGAUGAACAGUACAAGAGGAUGUUUCCUUUAACUUCCCUAUAUAAACCCUCCACAAGACAAAGUAGUAAGGUACAAAUAUGCUAUGUGGAGGGCAACACAUUGUCACCUGAGUUGCAGUAAUAAUAUGGCAUUAUCAACAUAAACAGCAUUUGUCAAUGUUACUCUUAUAGGGAGACGAGCUGAGCUACAUCUCUACAUCCGUAGGAACUUUGAUGUGUUGGGAAUGCUUAUGACUGGCAUAAGUCAUCUGCUUAUUUUUCCCUCAUAGGGGAAUCACUGGGGUCUCUGGAAAGUUGCCUCACUGCAAACAUUUUACUGCACCUCACUGGCCCUUCUAGUGUAAAUGUAUGAAACCUAGUAACUGGAGUCACUGAGAAGUACCUUUAAUUUUAAGUUCUAUAGGGCCUUUUAUUACUAAGUCAAUGGUGAUCUCAAAAUGCAGCCUUCACCAGGAUGAGCAUCUUAUGUGAAUCUAUGACACAUCAGGAGAGUAGUUAAGCUGCAUAUCUUAUUUAAAGGGUACUCCGGUGCUCCAGCAUUCUGAACAGACACGCCUCCUCCUAUAGACAUGAAUCUACGGGGCGUGGCGUGAUCACAAGUGGGGGCGUUGCCAUGAGGUCACGACCACUGCAGCAGGAACCCCGCGUUUGUUUAGAAUGCCGGGAACUGCGGGAGAUUGCGAGGGCCCCAGCAGCAGGACCUCCGCCAUCAGACAUCUUAUCCCCUAUCCUUUAGAUGCGGAUAAGAUGUCAGGCAGCGGAGUACUCCUUUAACACUAAUGUGGGACAUACUCUGGUUGGUGCAUAUCCACUUGUAUUUAGGGCAAUCUUUCAAAUGAACAGUGGGUUACAAAUGUAAAUUUUUAAUGAAUCUGUCCCUAUGUACAAAACUCUGAAAAAAAAAAAAAUGCCAUAUGAUUAUUUACUGGAUCCAUGGUACCAGUGCCAUUGAUGUUGUUAAGACAGGAUCUCUUCCCAGUCCUGUCUGUGUUUGGUAAAGUUAGCAUAAGUUUCAGUGUUAGGCUGGGUUCACACCACGUUUUUGCAAUACAGUUACCAUAUACGUUUUAAAUUUGAAAACCAUAUUGAAAACCGUAUGCAUUGACUCUUCAUUGAAAACCGUAUGCCAAAAGAUGUACCCUGUACAAUUUUGUCAGUUUAUUCCCCGUACCCAAAACCAUAGCCUACCACGGUUUUUGGUCCGGGUAAAAAAAUCAUAUUGAAACGUAUACUUUUAUUUUAACAUGGGAGUCAAUGGGAACCGUACAGAACCAUAUGUGCAUAUGGUUCCAUCUGGUUUUCACCAUAUGGUUUUUGACUUUGCACAGUUUUUUUCUUGGAAUUUCAAUCAAACAAGAGAAACUUUAUUAAUAAUGGAAUGAAAACUUAAAGGGUAGCUCCCACCAUCACUUUUUUUUUUUCUGUCCCUGCCUAUUACCCAUCUAUUUUUUUAGAUAUUUAAAAUGCCUUUUUGUCUGCCUGGUAGUGUGCUCACUAUCAGGCAGACUUCCCCAGCAGGCACCAUGUCACUGAUGCCUGCUGGGGCCGACACUUCCACCCGUUGGGAGUUCCAGCUGUUUCCCCACUGCAACUCCCAACCUGCCCUGACAUCUAUUGGCUGUCAGGACAUGCUGGGAGUUGUAGUGGGGAAACAACUGGAGGCAUACUGUAUAGGUGAACACCGUGAUGGCCGCACAUCCCGCUUCCCGCCGCGCAGCCCGCAAACCCCCCCCCCCCCGACCCCGUCGCGCCGCUCAACUCCCUCCCCAUCCCCCCUUAGUUCACCUCUUCAGUGUCCCUCCAGCGGUUUCCCCACUACAACUCCCAGC